rnacentral:tRNA from 1 species
GCGUUGAUGGUUCAGUGGUAGAAUUCCUGCCUGCCACAUGGGAGACCUGGGUUCAGUUCCCGGUCAACCCA